UACGGAGGAUCCAAGCGUUAUCCGGAAUGAUUGGGCAUAAAGGGUCCGCAGGUGGCAAUGUAAGUCUGCUGUCAAAGAAUGAGGCUUAACCUCAUCAAGGCAGUGGAAACUACAUAGCUAGAGUACGGUCGGGGUAGAAGGAAUUCCUGGUGUAGCGGUGAAAUGCGUAGAGAUCAGGAAGAACACCGGUGGCGAAAGCGUUCUGCUAGACCUGUACUGACACUGAGGGACGAAAGCUAGGGGAGCGAAUGGG
rnacentral:rRNA from 1 species